CUUGCAUUGAGGGGGCGGGGCUUGACGCGGGGGCCGAGUCAUAACGUCACGAUCUCACGUCACCGUGGUCGGGAGGCGUUAGGAUGAGAGCCUCCAGCACUGCCGGAAGCCGCAACAGGAAUCCUAAGGUUCCCCACCCAUGGCCGGCCGGUCACCUGUUCUUCAGCUGUUAAAACAAAAAUGAACGUACUUGGCACGAAGAAAAGAAGAAGGUUGAGCUCCCGCAGAGAAGAAGAAAACAGAUGACAUCUUGAUGUAAUGACUCUAAGAAAAUAACACUGAACCAGAAAGUCCCAAAAACAAGAGCUUCUUCCAGGUCCAAGUGGCUGACAUAGGAAGAAAACAGAGCAAACAGCUAUGAAUACGAAGAGUUCUCACCAUGGCUAAGCUUUGCUUUUUCAGAAGGAUGUCAGUCUGAUGUACACAAAGCCCCA